rnacentral:rRNA from 1 species
UGGGGAAUUUUGGACAAUGGGGGAAACCCUGAUCCAGCCAUCCCGCGUGUGCGAUGAAGGCCUUCGGGUUGUAAAGCACUUUUGGCAGGAAAGAAACGUCGCGGGUUAAUACCCCGCGAAACUGACGGUACCUGCAGAAUAAGCACCGGCUAACUACGUGCCAGCAGCCGCGGUAAUACGUAGGGUGCAAGCGUUAAUCGGAAUUACUGGGCGUAAAGCGUGCGCAGGCGGUUCGGAAAGAAAGAUGUGAAAUCCCAGGGCUUAACUUUGGAACUGCAUUUUUAACUACCGGGCUAGAGUGUGUCAGAGGGAGGUGGAAUUCCGCGUGUAGCAGUGAAAUGCGUAGAUAUGCGGAGGAACACCGAUGGCGAAGGCAGCCUCCUGGGAUAACACUGACGCUCAUGCACGAAAAGCGUGGGGAGCAAAACAGGAUUAGAUACCCCUGGUAGUCCACGCCCCUAAAACGAUGUCAACUAGCUGUUGGGGGCCCUUCGGGCCUUGGUAGCGCAGCUAACGCGUGAAGUUGACCGCCUGGGGGAGUACGGUCGCAAGAUUAAAAACUCAAAUGAAUUGACGGGGGUCAUAGCUGUUUCCUG